AGAUGGAGCUAGGAGGGCUGUAAGUGGGAGCUCUGCUCUCAGUUCACUCGCAUGCAAGCCACAAAAUGAAACUUCCAUUGCUUGGGGUGAAUGCAAUAUUCAUCUAAGAAACAAGAAUAUGGUGUGAUCUGGGUCCAGAACAUGGAUGCUGUGAAUAAACGAUGGCUGAUGGGGAUUACACAGCAUUAAUCGGGCUCUGUAAGUAUACACUUUCUGUAUAUUCUUUUUCUAUGCACAGCCCAGCCCUUUGUUAGACUGGUGCUGCAAUGUCUUGCUAGCAGUGAGAUACUUGGGUAUCACAGCAUUUUAAAUGUAAUGAUUCCAUCGCCAUGUUCUGUUACAUCCUAUGUAACUGGAAGCAGUGCUGUAUGCUGGCAGUCUGGACAUUAGUCUGGUCCUUUAUUGCCAUUUUUCUAGAUCAAAGCUAGUUAACAUUAUUUUUUUCCGUGAUGUGUAUUUCUAUUUGAUAAUGUGUCUAAUAUACAUUUGAAUUAUUUCCCACUGUGAUCCAUUAUUUUAGAUCAUUGUAUGUGCUGUUUAAUGGUGGGAGACUUGUCUCUAUAUAAACCAUGUAAAUGUGCUAUGAAUUCCGAUGGCCCACGCUUCCUUUGUUUAAUGCUGAAGCAGUUGAGCUGCUUUGUGCUUGGGAGAGAAAAAAAUGCCAAGUCCUAUUGUGCUACUACUAUUUUCUUCCGGUACAAAGGUUCCCUAACUCCACAGUACUCCAGAGCAAAAAUGCCCAGUCCAUCUACUUCAUAUAUAUGCUGUGUCUUUACUCAAUGUAGUGAUUCCAGAUCUAUGGUAUAAAUGUAGCUCACUGUAGUCAUUUUAACAAGCAGGUACAUAUUUCAAUCUAAUUAUUAAUCCAGUUUUCACUAAACUGAAACCAUGCUUGAUUUGAAACAUAUUUCUAUUGGUUGCUAUUUAUUCUGUUAUGUUAUAUAUUAUAAACAAAAUCCAAAAUGGUUUAGUGAGGAUUAUGGCAAUUUUCUACAUUGCAUCAAAAUAUGGAAUGGGUCUGGGAUCUUUUUUUUUUUUGUAAGUGACUAUAAAAAGUGCCACUUAGAAUUGUGCUAAAGGCUGUAUUGGUAGGAACCUUGACCCAAAUAUUGCUAAAAUUAUACAUUUUUCACUUUUGUUGUGCUUGACCUAGAUUUAUCAUUGUGCAUAUAAGGAGAGAGUGUAAUGAUCAAAUAUUUUAUGUUAUUGUGCUAUGAUAUACCUUUUUAUAUUUCUUUUAGAUAAAUAUAUGAAAUAAACAUAGGCAGAGGUUUGCUAAAAAAAAAAAAAAAGUUAUAUUUUUUGGUUGAUUUGUAUUGGAUUCCCAUUGGCUAAAAGUCUCUUUAAAUUCCUAUAAACACUGUUCUUUGCCAACACAGGGAAUGCAGAUAAAUUGAGCAUUGCAGUAUGCAGUAUGGCCAUACAGUGAUGAAAUCUGCAUCACUUUCCAAAAUAGUGCUUAUUUAGUAUAGAUCCUACAUUAUAGCAACCGUACACAUACUUCAUCAUUAAAGCAGGACACAUAUUGAAUAUAGUGUCGUAAUGCAGCUAUUGGGCAGCCAUCUUUGAUAGCAGGGGGCUGUAUAUAUUUUCAGUGGAUAUAAAAGUACCUGCUAUUAUUUAUAAUUUAGUGAGCUAUGAUUGGAGGGUUUAUACAUAGAAUGUUUCUGUACUAUAGGCCAAUCAUUGCAAAACUCAUAUUGAGGCAAUGAAAGCAUUUAGUUAUCCAUGGACUACACCCAAUUAUAUUUAGAUUUUAGAUUGAAAGUGUAAUGAAUAUAAAUAUUUACUUAGAGAAAAUGUAAAUGUUAUACCAAGUGAAGUAAGGAUGUGUACAUGCAUGUAGGCAUGUGCAUAAGUGUAAAUAAACAUGUAUGCAUCAUAUGCAUUUCAUGUGUGUGUGUGUGUGUCCAGCAUGCACUUGUGUAGUGUGUGAAAUCAGACAGAUUGAGAGAUAGAUAGAUAGAUAGAUAGAUAGAUAGAUAGAUAGAUAGACAGAUAACAAGACAGAUAGACAGGACAGACAGACAGACAAUGUUUACUAUGUAUUCACAGCAAACUACAGAUUCUGUCAACUUAUGUAUGUACAAUUAUAAAGUAGGUCAAGAUAGGCCACAGGGGUAUAAUGUGAAAGGCAUUGUUUAACCGAAUUUAAAAUGGGUUUUGAAGUUGACCUCAUACUGCAGUGAUAUAUCUGGCUGUAAAUAGAACACUUGCUUAGUAACUAAUUAGAAACAUAGGGAUGGACAGCUAUGUGAAAAUAAAUUAUUAUUUACAUAGAAAAAUGCCCUUUAAGCCCCAAAAUAACCGGUCCACCUUCCCAUCGUGUCAGUUUACACUGGCUUUUCAUGCCUGCGGCCGCCCAUUCAUUUUUACCUUAUAAUCAUGCAUUUCACUGCAUGAGCACUGUGCUAAAGGCUGGGCUACAGUAACAUUGUAUUAAAUGGGAUAUGAUAUGGUUACAAAGAGCUGCUCUAUGGUUUGGGAUUGGAUGGGCUGCACACAGAAAUGGAAUGUGUGUGCUGUCUGUGUGUGUGUGCAAUUCUGUCUGUCUGUCUCUACCACCCUCUGUCCCUCUGCAACCCAAAUUAUUCAUCUGCAGAAUAAAUGGAGUCAGUAUGGGACGUGCUGCUACCUGCAGAUGUCAUUAAUUUCCUUUAAAGGGUUAAGGGAUUUAUUAUGCAGCGAUUAGGAAGCAUUUUCUCUUAUCCUUGCCCAUGUUUAAGCCAUUCUAGUUAAGCUCCUUGGUAUUUAAGAGCACAGCACACUGCCUGCUGUAUUAUAUAGGACCUUCACAGCUAAGUGAGAAGGGACAGGGCUUUAUAAAAAAAAAAAAUCCCAACCAGGGCAGCAGGAUAGAUCUGUGAUCGAUAAGCAGACGUGGAAUAGCUGAUGGAGAGCUUUGGCCCCUGAUUGGCUACUGAUUUGAGAUGGGGAUGUUCAGAGCCCAGAUUGUGCUGGCUUCUCUGUGCUUUCAAGGACACAGGGAGAUGAUGAGGACUUUGGGAGCUAACAUCUGCCUGGCUGAUGACGUCAGCGGUCCCGUGUAAUCCUCUUGUGCUAAAGGCAGUUGCCUUAUUUGUUUGGCUGUAUUGCCAUUAAUCCCUAAUUCUGGAUCAGCAAGCGAGGGGAAAAGACCGCACCACUGCAUCCGUCACUGCCAAAAAUAUCAAGAGAUGCUCCCAUGUUGCAGCUAAGGCUUGGUGACUGAGCUUCAAUGCCUCCUUCCCUCUCUAAAAUGGUACUGUAAAUGCUUUUCUUUAAUUACUAUUACAUAUUUUGUUUGCAUAUUGCAAUUUUGUUUUGUUUUUUGCUUUUUGAUUCAUUGCAGCGUUUGUAUUUCUUCCACUGAAUUAAUUGCUCUCUUUUUCAAGCAAUCUUUGUACAUUCCAUUUCCCCCUUCCUAACGUUACUGUAGUUUUGUUGUUUGUCUUAUAUUUAAUAUUAUUGUUAAAUUGUUACCUUGUAAUGUAAACAUGUUGCUGAGAUUUUACAUGCAUACGUUGCUUUUUUUCGUUAUUUUUGUUUUUUUCCCCCCCAUUCUUUUGUGAACAGAUAAACAGAUCGUCAGAUGGUCUAGAUUACAUGCUGAGCAUUGUAUAACAUGUCAUUAUUAAUAUUUUAUUUAACUUUAUAUUGAUGGCUUUGGAAGAUGACUUGUUCUUCAAUGCUUGGAAUGUCCACCAUUAAUAUGCCUGUUUUUUUUUCUUCUGUUUUUUUAAGGACUAACAUGGAUCCCUGGGCUUGAGAAGCGGAUCACUCCUUACAUUGUGGUGUCAUUGUAACAUUUGGAAAUGAAACCUUACGGAUCCACCCAUUCCCAUGACUGAAAGUGGGUCUGCAGCUGACAGAUAUGUCAUUUCCCAGUCUUCGUCCUGAUGCCAUAUCACAGAUCCACCAAUAGAGGUCAACCUUGCCCAGUUCUAGGGCUUUCCUUACUGCCCACAAAUUGACUCCAGAAUGGUUAAUGUCCUCUUUACCAUCUCCACUUCUCCUCGACUAACUUCUCACAGUGAGAAUCAAUAUGGAUGCCAUGUCAGUUUAAGCAUUUAAAGGGCAGUGAAAGGCGUAGAUUCCUCAAUUCCUUUUUUUUUUUUUGUACGAACAGAGCAACUCUAGCCAGGCCAUAUGGACUGUACGUACUCGCUAGGGAAUGGGCAGGUGCGAUUGAGUUAUUUUUGCUUCCCAUUAUAAGGAAAGACGACUCGUCCAGACCUUUCCUUUUAAGUUCAUCUGUUCAAAAGAGGACUCAAAAAAAUGAAAGCCUAUCUUUAUUAUUAAGUCAUUAGAAAAAGAAUCACAACAUUGCAAAAUAUGUUACCAACUCAAUGGAACUCAAAUGAUGAGGAUUGUUUUUUUCAGGUUUUGUUCGCAGACCAGUUUGAUUGUUGACUUUAUUCUGAAGGAACAUAUUUAAUUGGAGCUACGACACUGCAGUCAGGCAAUCUCCUCGCGUUAGCAUUCUAUAAUAGAACGUGGCUCUGGAAGAGACCAUUGUGUAAUGGAAGGGGGUCGGUGUUCUUUAAGGGACGUUGAACCAAUCGCCAUUUUGAUUUGACCCAUGUCUCUGACUCUCCGUGUUCACAGCGGACCUUGAUUUAAUGUCAUACAAUUAAGGCACGCGGUGAAUGCCAAGAGUGGAGCUUAACGCUGCUCUGAAGACCUUCUUCUCAUCUCAACAAAAGACAAGCUAAAGCGCAUUAGCAGUAAUUGAUUUGAGUGCUCUGCAAAAAAAAAAAUGGGAAUGCAACAGAAUCGAUGCAUUAUGUAUAAUUAUAGGACGCAUUUUACGCCAAGCUAUGCAAUUACUGAUACCUUUAAAGUUUAAUAUGCACAGUGCAGCUUUUACAUCGUCUACAUUUUAGCCUUAUAUUGUGUAAAAUAAACGUGUGCUACAUGUCUGCUUAAUGUUUUAUCUCCGUUAUUAUCCUAGAAGAUCUAAGGUAAUUAUUUGUCUGUGAUUUGUAUAUAUCCACCAGAAAAAAAUGUAGAAAACACAAAAAAAGAUCAGAUAUAGUGAUUUCCUAACACAAAAAUCAUGCAAGGUUGUCUAAAUAAUUAUGCCAUAGAGAUUGCAAUCAUAAAUCUUUAAUAUUCUAUUUUUUCACUGUAACACAAUAUAGUGUAUUAUUUGUGAAGGUUCUUUUUUUUUUUCAGAUGAGCAUACAAUUUCAACAACCGGUUUAUUAAGUACAGACAGCAUUGUCUUGCCUGCGAGGUACCAUUGAGUUAUUAUGUUGCAAAUCGCUGUCCAUUGUGCUGAAAUGAGCGCUGGUUCUAUUGCCUGAUGUAAAAAGGCCCAUGACUUCACUGCUCACCAUCAACAAAUCUGUAGCAAUGACAGAUAUGAUCUGCAUAAGUAAACCAAGGCAGACUGCAUGCACGUCUAUGAGAGCGUGACUAAUAGCUACCCCCAUACAAAAGGCACAACGCUGCCUCUACAGAACAACAGGGUAUGGAUCGGGACAAAUAUGUAACAGAUUGCACUUCAAGCUGUCCUAGACAAAAGCAAAAGUACCCCAACUAAUCACACGUUCCAUGAG